UUAUGUUUAAGAAAGUGAUUUGGUGUGUUAUGUUUCACUAUUUAUUUGAGUCAGUGGAAUGGACAAAAAACUGUAAAGGCUGCUUCUUCCUUCAUCUCCUCCAUUUUCCUUCUUUGCUUUGAUUCUGUUUCAGAGAUUGAGUGAUCUGGCAUCAUCGCCAUGUUUUGCAUGACUGUGAUACAAAUCGACACAGAACACAACAAGACAACUUCUCUCUCUCUCUCUCUCUCUCUCAGCAGUCUAAUCACGGCACCACACUUAAAUCAAUGACAUGAAAAGAGAAAAGGAGAGAGAGAGAGAGAGAGUAGGCUUUUGUUGAAUUUGGACCUGCACUUGUGUGAUUUUUUUCUUAUAAUAUCUGUGCUUUUCAUUUUAUCUUUCCUUUUCUCUUUCUUUGGAACCAAACCCUAAUAUGUCCGUAUAGAUCCACAUUUUUGUUUUUCUUCCAUUAAUGGACACAUUCCUACCUUUACCUUUUCCUUCAGAUUUGAUUCAAUCCUUAAUUGUGUCUCCUUUUGGUUAUUUUCUUCACUCCACAUAGUUUCCAGUUUUGGCUUUCUUUAUUGUGCUGUUCAUAUAACCAUCUUGUUUUUGCUCAUCAUUGGAACAUAGAAAUUGACAGAAGAGAGUGAGCACAUAGACACUCGGUAUAGAUGUAUAUCGUUGCCUUUGCGUGCUCACUCAUCUUUCUGUCAAAUUCCAUUACCACAUGAAAUUGCUUUCAUUCUGGUUCUGUUCCUAUUCAUCACCUCCAACCUCAACCCUUCUCUCUCUCUCUCAAUAUAUUUGAUGGAAAAUGCAAGAUCACCGCUACUCCCUACUACAACAGGUUUUGCUACAGAUUCCGAUUUCUUGUUCAGCUGGAAUUUCAAAUGGGUAUUUUACUAUUGACGGUAGGGUUUAUAUGAUAAAGUAAACUAUCAACUGAUAUUUUUUGACUUAUACAUUUUUUCUAUUUCAUCUGAAUAGUGUGAUCUGAUAUGGAAAAACGAUCUUGUUUGUGAUAUAUGUUUUACCUUUGACCUGAUUUUUGUGUCUGAGUUUGAUGCAGAUGGAAUUAUAACACCAUGCAUGUUCCUUUUGUGCCUUAAUAAUGUACAUUUAUUGCACACUCCAGUUGCAUCGUCAUAAAAUCAAAUCAUAUGUCAUAGCGGGGCAGCUAACUAUCACAUCUGUAUACAGUGGCUUCUUCUGGCAAUUUUCUUCCAAUUAUUUUGAAGGUUAAUAAGGAAGUGAUUAUAUCCGGUUAUGUCCAUAUGUGCAUGUCUAUAUGUUAAUAUUAUAAAACAUCAUUUUAAUUUUAAUACAAACCAUUUGCAAUUCAAUAUGAUUAUUAGAGUAAUGGUAAGAUUUGGGUAGUUUGCAUCAAUCUAUAGAAAGUCUUUAAUAAUCUCAAAUUCCCCAUUUCUCCUCCUGCCAAAUCUAUUGGAUAUUGUAAUAGCUGAAAGUGUUCAUAUAGUUGGAUUAGAUUAAUCUAAGGAUUUAUGAUCUGUCCAAUGAAGAUCUAGAAAAGAGUAUAGUUGUGCUGAGCGUUUCGUUGCGGUGGAUGUUGAUCCUUCGUUGUGGAAUUCACGGCGGAGGAGAAUUGUGCCUGCAAACUCGUUAGCACUCUCACGCUCAAGUUAGUAUGAAAAUGAGGUGGAUAUGUGCGAAAUGGGGUAAAAGUUAAUUGUGCCUUGGGGGUGACGUUACAUCACCCUUAUAUAGGCGUGUAGGAGAAUAACUGCCUCCGUAAAAUGUGGCGCCUAUGUAGAAGGCGGUUAGAGAGGGGUUUAGCGGCUCAAAUGGACCCAGACGUGUUCUAGUGCGGUGUUCCCACACAGAACUUAACAUGUGCCUUUGUCGUGGUUGGUCCUUAGCUUAUUGACUCUUAGCUGGUCCGGAACAAUUUAUAUUAAAUACAAGGGGCCACACACUGCACACAAAAAAUGCAAAGGUUUUGCAAUUAUCAAAUUCAAAUAAGAGUCAUGCUAAUUUGUGCCCUUAGGACACAAGUUAAAGAAUUUAAAAUAGAAUUAAGUAAUAAAUUUUAUAUUGAAAAGAUAACUUUUGAAACUUUUAAAACAUUGAAUGUACAAUUUCAAAAAAAAAUAAAAAUUCUACAUUUGAUUCCUUAAGUUAUGGCAGGGCACAAGUUAGCAUUAUCCAAUAAAGUUUGAUAUUAAAAAAAAAGAUUUUGUAAGGUACGGAAUGUUGUAUGUUACGGAGUGUUGGGCGUUUAAGAUCCAACACAAGAAACAAGUAAGUGUGCGGAGAUGAGGAUGUUGCGUUGGAUGAGCGGUAAGAUUGGAUGAGAUAGGAUUAAGAAUGACACCUAUAGUAGAAAAGUUGGUAGAAAAUAAACUUAGAUGAUUUGGGCAUGUAAAGAGAAAGACCCGCAGAUGUUGUCGUAAGAAGAGUAGAUCAGAUGGAGGAGAGUCGGGUCAAAAGAAGUAGAGGAAGACCUAGGAAAACUAUAAGAGAAAUCAUUAAAAAGAACUUAUAAAGGUCAAUGAGUUGGAUCCAAAUAUGAUUUAUGAUAGAACACUAUGACGUAAUUUAAUCCAUGUAGCCGACGCCACUUGGAUUUUGGAGUUUUUCUUUAUCAGCUAGCUAUCCUAAUAUUCAAAUUUAUUUCCUUUGAAAGAUAUAAAAGAUACACUGCCAUCGAAAUAGAAAAAUCAAGUGUAUUUUAGAUAUCUAAUGGAGAGGGGGAUGCAUUGGAAUGAGAUGAAUCAUGAUUCCAUUAUUUGCUGCCCCAAAAAACCACUUCAUUGUUGGGAUAUUUUUAUGCUGGCACGAAGAAAAUAACUAGUUUUAACGCCUCUUAAAAAUAAAAAAAAUAAAAAACUAGUUUAACCCUAUAUUGAACCCAAAAACGAUUAUUGACACAAUAAAAAGUGUAUCAUCUGAAAUGGGAUAAAAUGCAUUGGAUCAUAUUCCAUUAUGUUCUGUAUCAUAUUUUUUAAUGUUCCAAAAAUGUAAUUUGCUAUGCAAGGCAAUUAGUUCUAAUAUAAAUAAGUUGAGGAAUCUUGUAGGUAAAAUCUACUUGUUCAUUGCUUGCAAGGCAACACUUACACCCAGAAGAAUCUUGUGGAGGAAGAAUCCUUUGUUUUCUAUCUAGCAUAUUUGGAAUCCUACCACAACUAAGGUUAUUGCUCAUCAAACAUGUAAUGUUGUUUUAGUUUGAUAACAGUGGAAACAAGUUUAAUUAUACUCAAUAAGCAUGUAAUUUCCUUCUCAGUUUGGCAUGUGGCUUGGGAAGUCAGUGUAGUGCCUAGGGGUUGGACCAAAUUAUUUUCAUUUUUGCAUCUCAAGGGGUAAGGGGAAAGCGUUGGAGUCGUAAAUUUGCAUGCUAUGUUUUGGUCUGUUUGGGAUGCAAUGAAUAAGACUAUAUUGUUUAGGUAUGGUGGCUACGGUAUCAGAAGUCUUUGACAGAUUAAAUUUAUGUCCUGGAAAAUGGUCUUUGGCUAGGAAAAAGGGGGGACAUUGUUUAUUUUAUGCUUAGGGGUGAGAAACAUCAUGCAUCAAUUUAUUUAGUGGUUGUUUGGUUCUACGGUGGAAGCAUAAAUAUCACAUCCCAAUGCUCAACUACCGUGAUUUUUAAGAAGCUCAAAAUAGUGGCUUUGGGCAGAACGUGCGUCUAUGCUUAGUGCACCGCAAAAAGAAACAAAGCAUUAGUCGAGAUAUUUUAUUUCUUUUUGUUUUUCAUUUCUUUGGGACCUCGAGGUAAAGAGAGGAAUCAUUGAUAUGACAUUUGGUGCUUUAAGCUAGCCUAGAGUUUGAGGAAUUAUUGUGUGUAUUAUAUAUGAAUGAUGUUUUGUUCCCUUGCUUGAUGUGUUUUUAGGGUAUAAUAGUUUCUAAAGAUUUAGUUGA